AGCAGUAUGAAAGCCAGAUUGAAGGUCUUGCUAGACGAGCUGAGAGGAGGUGCAUGGCCGUCGCCAGUUCGUGCCGUGAGGUGUCCUGUUAAGUCAGGCAACGAUCGAGACCCGCGUCCUCUGUUGCAACCAGCUUUGAGCUGGGCACACUGAGGAGACCGCCACUGAUAAAGUGGAGGAAGGAGCGGGCCACGGCAGGUCAGUAUGCCCCGAAUCUCCCGGGCCACACGCGAGCUGCAAUGGCAAGUACAAUGGGUUCCGACCUCGAAAGGGGGAGGCAAUCUCGAAAGCUUGCCGUAGUUGGAAUUGAGGGUUGAAACCCACCCUCAUGAACAUGGAAUCCCUAGUAAUCGCGUGUCACUAGCGCGCGGUGAAUACGUCCCUGCUCCUUGCACACACCGCCCGUCGUUCCAUCCGAGUGACUCUUGGGUGAGGUGCCGUCUAAUUGGCGGUAUCGAAUCUAAGUUUCACAAGGAGGGAAAAGUCGUAACAAGGUGGCCGUAGGGGAACCUGCGGCCGGAUCACCUCCUAAGAAA
rnacentral:rRNA from 1 species